UUCAUAGUAGAAACAAGCCAAAAGAAAUUAACAUGCUAGUUAAAUAUUUAACUCUGCAGUAGUAGAAAGUAGACAUGGAUACAGAAAGCUAUAACUAAACACAUUGUAAAGAUGCUGAAGCUUAAAUUAGGACAUACUAGUUUAAAAGAAAACAAGUAGAAAAAGCAGUAGUCUUUUAAAAUCCAAAGUGCAAACAGGAAGGCAAAAUACUAUAAGUGUGAGUUAAGAAGAGAUUGUGAAGUUGUGAAUAUGAAAUGUAGGAUUGUUAAAUCGUGUCUUUGUGAGAAAAAAGGAUAAUGCCUUUCAUAUUGUAGAAAGAAAGCAGAAAUAAGGUAAGAAAUAAGUUAAAGAACUGACUGUCAAUCAAUUACACAAGGCUUCCCUUAAUUAAGGGAUUCAGUUCAAACAGGUAAACCAUUUAAGGAAAGGAAUAAAAAAAACACCUUGUGUAAAGCAUACAAUUGAGGGAAAAUACAUAAAGGUCAUUUAAGGACACGGUCUUGAUAGUACACGGUUUGUGCAAAUAAGUCAAGGGAAUCAAUUAACAGCCAGGCAAUAAGAGGUCAAAGAUUUGUUAUGAAUGAACCAAGUCAGAAAGGUGGAAAAGGUUUUAUCUUAAGGAAAAUCAACAAACAAUCAAUUAGACCUAUUUUAAAGGAAUUCCGAAUCAAUCACAAGUUUGAAAAUCCUUUUAAAGGGAG
rnacentral:lncRNA from 1 species